CUCCACCGAACCAGUUGUCAGUGGCAACAUAUAGGAAUCGUGUACAUUUCUUCGUUUCUUCUUUGCUGUUUUCAGUGAGUGUUUUGUUUUCUCUUUGUCCUUGAUCUCGACGGCGUUGUCGUGCUCAUUACCUUACUGAGACUUCUCUUGUGACUGUAGCCAGUGUCACGGAGGAUUUUAUUGGCGUGACGAGGUAGAUCGCCGAGAUCGAGCGUGAAAAACGCUCUGCAUUAGUAGCUCCUGUAGAAUGUCUUCUGGGAUGGCGUAUCCAUGGUCAACAAAGCCAAGGUGCAAGACAGCAUAAGAGAUCGUGUAAACGAUGUGAACUCCAAAAGAUAAUCUGGACAAAUAAAUUAUAUUGUAACUGGAGAGUGCAAUCGUGCUUGGGACCCAUCCCAAUGUCAUCACAUGGCUGUGGUGACUAGUGUAUACUUGGGAGAGAUUUUCCUCAACUGAGACGGAGUGUAGCUGGAUGGAUUAUGAGAAAUGCGAAGAUGUGGAGUUCAAGGCUAGAUGCACUUCACAUUCGGCGUGCGAUCUCGGCGUCUGGGACCUGACAACGUCUUGGUUGGAUGGGUAAUCAAGGAUGAUACUACUCGGCACACCAAUGUACAUGUCAAUGUAAUUUUUACUUUUUCAGAGCUGCACUAUUUACGUCUUGAUGCUUACUUCGGUGCUAGCGUGUUUCCCCGGAUUAUUUCUAUCAUCAUGCGUGUUCUUGGGCUGAGCGAGCACAUGCACGAGUGUGCAGCUAUAGCCCUGUGUAUCUUUGGUGACACUUUGUUCUGCAAUGCAUGUACCUUGUAACAGUAUGUGCUUGCACUGCUUUGUGUGGCCUGCGUAUUUCAGGACUAUUCAGUGCAUUAGACCCAGGUUGGUUUGGUUGCCGGAUGAUCUCUUGUUGCAACGCUCUGUGUUUUGUAUUCAUCAAU